rnacentral:lncRNA from 1 species
AAAGAUUUCAAAUCAAAAUUCUGCCUUCUCUGUAGAUUCGACCCGACUCACUACUUUCUAUAUGUUUUUAAUUUUUAUUAAAGUCAAAAUUUGAUUGAUAAUCAUGGUGUCUUAACGAUAACAUCACGAUCGUAUCAGUAGAUCAUGGAUAAAUCAUCAAACAUCAUCAUCAAUCAUAUGAUAGAUUCGAUUAGCUUAAGUCCAAUUAUGAUCCUCAUAGAAACUUCUUUUCAUUAAUUAUACUACUGUAGCCACAAACUCUCGGACUUAGCCUCUCAAAUUUUAUAGGACUACUCCUCUCUAUC